AAAAGAAAAAUUGUCUCCACAGAUUCAUACCUAAACAUGCCAAACCUGGUUUCUUCAAUAUUCUUCUCUAUGUAUAAUAAAGACUUGCUGUAUAAAAAUAAUCAAGGGGAUAAACAUGGGACUGGGCCAAUAAGGAUAUUAAAAGGCGCUCAGAUUUACUAGUCAUUAGGGAACUGCAAAUUAAAACCAUAAUUCUCUACUUCUACAAUGCACCUAAAUGCCUAAAAUGACAAAGACAGAAAAUGCCCUAUAUUGGAAAGGAUGUGGAGUAAGCUUCUCAACAGCAAAUUCUCAUACACUGCUGGUGGGAUAUAGGUUGGCACAAUAUUGUGGAAAUCUGUGUGUCCAUAACCACUCAAACUGAACAUACGGACCAUACGACCCCACAAUUCUACUCCAGUUAUAUAACCAACAGAAGUGUGUAUUUAUGUUCCCCUAAAGCCACUUCUGGUAAAGUUCAAGUAACACUUCAGGAUGGCCCCAAAACUGGAAAUUAUGUCCAUUAGCAGGGUAAUUGAUAAAUAAAUUGUGAUCUAGUCACACAAUCAAAUACUCUACGGUAACGAGAAGGAACAAACCUCAGUUUCCUGCAGUGAGGGGAAGGGAAUUUACCGAGUCCUGUCCUUCCCCCAAACCCCCAGACCCUGCUACGCGUCCAGCGUUCCACUGUCCACUCCCAUCCUUCAGUCAGACGGGAAAACGAAAAUCGAAGGCAAUUUUGAUUUUUUUUUUCGUAAAAUUUUAUUGAAAAGCUUUAAAGUCGUCUAAGAAAAAGGGGCGAAUAAGAAAGAGAUUCGUUCUCAGGGAAGCCCGCGGGUCCUCCACGUGGAGGGGGCAGUCCUGGGGCUCAGACCAGUGUUGUCAGGAUCCGGACUUGAGCGCUGUGCUGCGCGCCCCUUAGAUUGGGAGCCCCAGGGAGGGCUCUGACCCUUAUAGUGGGAGCCUCAGGGUGGGCUCUGCUGGGAGGAGCGCAGGCAAGUCCCCGCUGACGCGGGCCCCGGUCUCCUGGGAGGUUCCCAAGGUGUCACUCUCUCUGUUUGCUCCGGGGCUCAGAUCUUCUGCAGGAUCAGCCUCUCCCGCGGGUGCCUGUAGAUCCAUCGGGGCCCAGGCUGUGGGCUGGGGCUCGGGACACUCUGGGCAGGGAUCGCGGCUUUCCUUGAACAAACGGCCACAUCCGGAACAGUUCCCGCUUGACAGCCCGCAAAAACAGUGGAGCGAGUCCAAGGAGAAUUCAGGGCUGUGCUGAAAAGGGUCGCCCAGCUUGGGGAAGUAAGGCAGCGCCCAGGGCCCGGAAGGUUCCUGGAGUAGGGCUAAUGACGCUGGAGGCUCUGCCUCCUCCGACGCAGAAUUCCAAGCCUGCUUUCUACAGGAAAAACAUAGGUGUGCCAUAGCUUCAGUCUCUAGGCCCAAAGAAGUGUGUGUCUGGGAGAAGAGAUAGGCGAAGUUUGGUCCAGGCCUGUUAGGGUGUCAGAAAUCAAAAAAGGACAGAACGAUGGGUGUUAGCAUUAACCUUUGGUGCACAUUGAUUCCAAAAGUCAGAACUGAUGGAAUUGAGGGGGAAACUGGACCAUUCCGAUGCUAUUUUUCCAAGUUGAAUUGAUUGUAGUAUAGGUCAGAGCGGUGGCAGUUUGAACCUACUACAGAAGAGGCACAGAAAAGUGAUUUGGGGCAGUUAGUUACCCACAUCUUCUAACCAUCAAGGAAAGUCUACUCUAGAAUGUUCAUGGUGUCUACUUCUCAUGGCACGUCUUCCAGGUAGGAAUUUUCUGAUUUUAUAGACGAGAUUCAG
rnacentral:lncRNA from 1 species